AGCUAUCAGCUGAUCAGUUGUUUGCUUCUGUCUGAUUUCGUUUCGAGUCGUAAGAGGCCAUUUUUGCCUAGUAAGUUUCUGAUUCUGAAAGCUCUUAAUCUGGUACGCUAUUGGUGUCGUUUAUUGUGUGUGUCCACUUGAUUCUGCUCUGCAUUCAGUGUGUUAAUUAAUGCGUGAUCUCUAUUGAGUCACCCCUGGUAUUUCUGGUCAUAGCCCACUCCUAAUUGUGGACCCUGGGCACCAGUUGAAAGGUGUAAUAUAAUUGUAUUACUCGUUGGCCCUAG